CCUACGGGAGGCAGCAGUGAGGAAUAUUGGUCAAUGGACGCAAGUCUGAACCAGCCAUGCCGCGUGCAGGAAGACGGCUCUAUGAGUUGUAAACUGCUUUUGUACGAGGGUAAACUCAGAUACGCGUAUCUUUCUGAAAGUAUCGUACGAAUACGGAUCGGCUAACUCCGUGCCAGCAGCCGCGGUAAUACGGAGGAUUCAAGCGUUAUCCGGAUUUAUUGGGUUUAAAGGGUGCGUAGGCGGUCGGAUAAGUUAGAGGUGAAAUCCCGAGGCUCAACUUCGGAAUUGCCUCUGAUACUGUUCGGCUAGAGAGUAGUUGCGGUAGGCGGAAUGUAUGGUGUAGCGGUGAAAUGCUUAGAGAUCAUACAGAACACCGAUUGCGAAGGCAGCUUACCAAGCUACGUCUGACGUUGAGGCACGAAAGCGUGGGGAGCAAACAGGAUUAGAUACCCCUGUAGUC
rnacentral:rRNA from 1 species